GUUUGCUGUAGGGGGGGGGGGGGGUUAGAGUGUGUAACAUUCCUGGGUUUAUGAAUGCACGCCGGCUUUUCCGGCAUUCCCUCGGAUCUCACGUGAGUAAUGGCAGAUGAAGCGGUUGUCCGGAACUGUCCACACUAAGACACGCCAACAUACACACUCACACACGCUCAGACACACUGAGCGUACGUUUUGCACCUGAGAAUGUGGAUCCCCCUUUCAUUUAUUCUGAAUGUUCUUUCUGUUCAAAGAAGUCUUGAUAUUCUACUGAUUUUAAUAUAUUCAUUGAACUAUCCUGUGGUAAUAGUGUGUCUGGCCCAGCAGAGGACUUAGGGGCACAGAGGGAUUUGUGGGCGGGACUUCAAAGGGGGUGGGCUUUGGCAGGGACUUACUUAUGAAUGUGAUUAUGAUGAAACUUUGCUUGAGUCUGUUCUUUCUUUCCCUUUCUUUUUUUCGUAUUCAUUUGGAGAAAAGAAAAGGAGGGGUGGGUGGGGGGUGGGGGCGGGGGGGGGGGUUUGUAUGUCAUUUGCACACGUGUAGCUGUCCCAUGGCUUAAUAAAGACACCCACACUUACAGGCGUUUGUUAACACUGAGCUCCUGGCUGCUGAGCUCACCUGUCGUUCACCUGCUCUUUCUGUUCCUCGCUCGUCCAGAGAGGUGCUGCUCUUUCUGUUCCUCGCUCGACCAGAGAGGUGCUCCGUCUCACUGCUGAGUUUGAUCAUCUUGGGGUUAUUUUUUCUUUCUGUACAUACUAUAAAUAUAUAUAAUAAAACAAAUAAAAAAUAUCAAUGUCAA